UACAGAGGGGGCAAGCGUUGUUCGGAAUUACUGGGCGUAAAGCGUGCGCAGGCGGGCUUUUAAGCCAGACGUGAAAUCCCCGGGCUUAACCUGGGAAUGGCGUUUGGGACUGGAAGUCUGGAGUACGGCAGAGGAGACUGGAAUUCCUGGUGUAGCAGUGAAAUGCGUAGAUAUCAGGAGGAACACCGAUGGCGAAGGCAGGUCUCUGGGCUGAUACUGACGCUCAUGCACGAAAGCGUGGGGAGCAAACAGG
rnacentral:rRNA from 1 species